UGAAUGGAAAAGUAUAAAGAAAAUAGAAAAAUGAUGCUCAGAGAAGACAAGUAAAUAAUUUCAGGAUAUCAAUAAAUCAGUUGUGUGAUAUUCCAGCAUCUAAAGUCUACGACAUAUUAAGGAGAUCUCGAAUUUCAACUUGGAAAUAGGAAUGGCUGUUUUUAUAAAAUCAGCAGAAAUAUCCACAGGUUGGCCACAUGCUUGCUUGAGAUACUAUUUUAUAUCAAAGAGAAAAAAAAGUAUAUGAUUGUACUGAACGUCUGGAACAGCAGAGAGCAGUGCAUGAUAAUUUAUCUAAAAGAAGAUGAGAUAUUAUUGCGGGUGAAGAAGUUGAAAAAAUUCUUGGCAAGGAUGAUGAAAACACAAAAAGCUUAGAAGAUGACGAGUUUUUCUCAGUUGAAUCCAAAGACGCUAACUAAAUCGUUUACUGAAGUUUCCGAUCGUUAACGCCUGAGCGUUAGAGGCACAAUGUCGAUAUAGAAGCAAAAAUAGUUAAUUCUGUUGGGGCUCCCCUUUUACAGUUCGCUAUUUCAAAAUGUUUAACAUCAAAAGAAACGAACAAAUCAAGAUUGGAAAACCAAUAGUUUCACAAAUUGAGCUAAAUAAUCCAAGACUUUAAAAACUAAUCCAAGACUUUAAAAACUAAUUCAAGACUUUAAAAACUAAUCCAAGACUUUAAAAACUAAUCUAAGACUUUAAAAACUAAUCCAAGACUAAUGAGAAUUGUCACAAACGGGUGUCCCUAUUCGGAAAAAAGGAGAACUUAAAUAACGUAUAAUUUUUUUUACCAUUGUUUUUCGCAAUUUUGUACAUUAGUAACAUAUUAUGUCAUGUGCAACUCUUAAAAAUUUUUCA